rnacentral:tRNA from 1 species
UAAUAAGAAGCAAAUUUAUGCACUCAGUUUCGACCUGAAUAACAGAUGAAAACUCAUCCUUAUUUA